rnacentral:rRNA from 1 species
GAGUUUGAUCAUGGCUCAGGACGAGCGCUGGCGGCGCGCCUAAUACAUGCAAGUCGAACGGGUCUCCUUCGGGAGGUCAGUGGCGGACGGGUGAGUAACACGUGGGUGACCUGCCCCGAAGUGGGGAAUAACGCUGCGAAAGCAGCGCUAAUACCGCAUACGCUUAACGGUCCAAUCCGUUAAGCAAAGCAAGAGCAAUCUUGCGCUUUGGGAGGGGCCUGCGGCAGAUUAGCUAGUCGGUGGGGUAAUGGCCUACCGAGGCGACGAUCUGUAGCUGGUCUGAGAGGAUGACCAGCCACACUGGGACUGAGACACGGCCCAGACUCCUACGGGAGGCAGCAGUAAGGAAUAUUCCACAAUGGGGGAAACCCUGAUGGAGCGACGCCGCGUGCGCGAAGAAGCCCUUCGGGGUGUAAAGCGCUUUUCUGCGGGGUGAGAAAAGACAGUACCGCAGGAAUAAGCCUCGGCUAACUACGUGCCAGCAGCCGCGGUAAUACGUAGGAGGCAAGCGUUGUCCGGAAUUACUGGGCGUAAAGCGCGUGCAGGCGGUUGUGGAAGUCUGCUGUGAAAGCUCCCGGCUUAACUGGGAGAGGUCGGAGGAAACUCCACGACUAGAGGACGGUAGAGGGGGGUGNAAUUCCCGGUGUAGUGGUGAAAUGCGUAGAGAUCGGGAGGAACACCUGUGGCGAAGGCGGCCCCCUGGGCCGGACCUGACGCUGAGACGCGAAGGCUAGGGGAGCGAACGGGAUUAGAUACCCCGGUAGUCCUAGCAGUAAAC